rnacentral:rRNA from 1 species
UACGAAGGGGGCUAGCGUUGCUCGGAAUCACUGGGCGUAAAGCGCACGUAGGCGGCUUUUUAAGUCAGGGGUGAAAUCCUGGAGCUCAACUCCAGAACUGCCUUUGAUACUGGGAAGCUUGAGUCCGGGAGAGGUGAGUGGGACUCCGAGUGUAGAGGUGAAAUUCGUAGAUAUUCGGAAGAACACCAGUGGCGAAGGCGGCUCACUGGCCCGGUACUGACGCUGAGGUGCGAAAGCGUGGGGAGCAAACAGG